CCGGCACGGGUGAGUAACACGUAUCCAACCUGCCGUCUACUCUUGGCCAGCCUUCUGAAAGGAAGAUUAAUCCAGGAUGGCAUCAUGAGUUCACAUGUCCGCAUGAUUAAAGGUAUUUUCCGGUAGACGAUGGGGAUGCGUUCCAUUAGAUAGUAGGUGGGGUAACGGCCCACCUAGUCAACGAUGGAUAGGGGUUCUGAGAGGAAGGUCCCCCACAUUGGAACUGAGACACGGUCCAA
rnacentral:rRNA from 1 species